rnacentral:rRNA from 1 species
UACGUAGGGAGCAAGCGUUGUCCGGAGUUACUGGGCGUAAAGCGCACGCAGGCGGUCUUGCGCGUUCGUGCCGACAGCGACUCGCCUAACGAGUCGAGGAGUACGAAAACGGCAAGACUUGAGGGCCAGAGAGGGACACGGAACUCCGGGUGGAGUGGUGAAAUGCGUAGAGAUCCGGAAGAACACCAAAGGCGAAGGCAGUGUCCUGGCUGGUACCUGACGCUCAGAGGCGAGAGCUAGGGGAGCGAACGGG